GAUGAACGCUGGCGGCGUGCCUAAUACAUGCAAGUCGAGCGAACGGACGAGAAGCUUGCUUCUCUGAUGUUAGCGGCGGACGGGUGCGUAACACGUGGAUAACCUACCUAUAAGACUGGGAUAACUUCGGGAAACCGGAGCUAAUACCGGAUGAUAUUUUGAACCGCAUGGUUCAAAAGUGAAAGACGGUCUUGCUGUCACUUAUAGAUGGAUCCGCGCUGCAUUAGCUAGUUGGUAAGGUAACGGCUUAACAAGGCAACGAUGCAUAGCCGACCUGAGAGGGUGGUCGCCCACACUGGAAGUGAGACAGGGCCCAGACACCUACGGGAGGCAGCAGUAGGGAAUCUUCCGCAAUGGGCGAAAGCCUGACGGAGCAACGCCGCGUGAGUGAUGAAGGUCUUCGGAUCGUAAAACUCUGUUAUUAGGGAAGAACAUAUGUGUAAGUACCUGUGCACAUCUUGACGGUACCUAAUCAGAAAGCCACGGCUAACUACGUG
rnacentral:rRNA from 1 species